GACGAACGCUGGCGGCGUGCUUAACACAUGCAAGUCGAACGAAAAGAGGGAAAGAGCUUGCUCUUUCCGGAAUUGAGUGGCAAACGGGUGAGUAACACGUAAACAACCUGCCUUCAGGAUGGGGACAACAGGCGGAAACGACUGCUAAUACCGAAUAAGUUCCAAGGGCCGCAUGGCCCAUGGAAGAAAAGGUGGCCUCUACCUGUAAGCUAUCGCCUGAAGAGGGGUUUGCGUCUGAUUAGCUGGUUGGAGGGGUAACGGCCCACCAAGGCGACGAUCAGUAGCCGGUCUGAGAGGAUGAACGGCCACACUGGAACUGAGACACGGUCCAGACUCCUACGGGAGGCAGCAGUGGGGAAUCUUCCGCAAUGGGCGAAAGCCUGACGGAGCAACGCCGCGUGAGUGAUGACGGCCUUCGGGUUGUAAAACUCUGUGAUCCGGGACGAAAAGGCAGAGUGCGAAGAACAAACUGCAUUGACGGUACCGGAAAAGCAAGCCACGGCUAACUACGUG
rnacentral:rRNA from 1 species